rnacentral:rRNA from 1 species
GGCUUAACUCCGGGCGUGCAGGCGAUACGGGCAUAACUUGAGUGCUGUAGGGGAGACUGGAAUUCCUGGUGUAGCGGUGAAAUGCGCAGAUAUCAGGAGGAACACCGAUGGCGAAGGCAGGUUACUGGGCAGUUACUGACGCUGAGGAGCGAAAGCAUGGGUAGCGAACAGGAUUAGAUACCCUGGUAGUCCACACCGUAAACGUUGGGC